GAUGAAGAACGUAGCGAAAUGCGAUAAGUAGUGUGAAUUGCAGAAUUCAGUGAAUCAUCGAAUCUUUGAACGCACAUUGCGCCCCUUGGUAUUCCAUGGGGCAUGCCUGUUCGAGCGUCAUUUGUACCUUCAAGAUUUGCUUGGUGUUGGGUGUUUGUCCAUUCUCUUGCAGAGGGACUCGCCUUAAAGUAAUUGGCAGCCAGUGUUUUGGUUUUGAAGCGCAGCACAAGUCGCGAUUCAACGCUAUACGCCAGCUUCCACAAGCCUUUUUCACUUUUGACCUCGGAUCAGGUAGGGAUACCCGCUGAACUUAAGCAUAUCAAUAAGCGGAGGA
rnacentral:misc_RNA from 1 species